rnacentral:lncRNA from 1 species
AAAAUUAGCUGUAAAUGAAAAAGGGUAAUACUGAUAUUUGCAGGCAGGUUAUAACCUCUCCCCCAUCCCAAUAUAUAUAUAUAUAUAUAUAUAUUCAUACGGCUAGAAUGCAUAAAAAGAAGUGUGGAUUUGAAAACUUGGGCCAACUUUUCUUAUUGUGUUAUAUAUAUGUGUGUGUGUGUGUGCGAACAUAUACACAUAUAUAUACAUACAAAUAAGCAAGAUUUCCAUGUUUGUUUUUUGGAAUUAACCAAAACCUUGGAGGAGGCAGCGUUUGAUGGAUAUUGAUCCCUUGUGGAUUAUUGGGGGUGGGUUUUGGGUUUUUAUACUUAUAAUAUUUAUAUUAUUAUUUGUUCAUGGCACCCAAAUCAUCCCAACUUAUUUUUCUUAUUCUUCUCUUGAUUAUUUCAAAUAUCAUUCCUCUUCUAUCUUCUUCUCAUCCUAGCCUAUCUCCUCCUCCUCCUCCUCCUUCUUCUUCUUCUUCAACACACAAAACUCUCAUGCCCGCAAACCGUACAUCCUCUUCAUCUACAUCGCUUUCGUCUUCAUCAUCAUCAACGACAAUUGUGGUUACUACUAUCAACUCUACGAUGAAAACAACAACAACAACAAGUACCGAUAUGUCUCGAGAUGGACAUGAGUUCAAAUCAGCUACCCACGAAGUUCCUAGCGGCCCAAAUCCAGAAUCCAACAAGUAAUUAAGUAAAUGAAAUCGUACGUAAAUAUUUUUCUCAAUCUUAGUUAUUUUCUCAAUUAUAGUAUUCUACAAGUGAAGUUAAUUAAUAAGGAUUACAAUUAUGUAAUUAUGUGUAUAUAUAUGUAUGAAAUCUAAUAUGUGAGUAUCCAUAUUGAGCAUUAUUAGUGAAAGAAUAGAUAUGAUGUGGGGUUGUAAUAUUAAUAUUAAGUAGGUACACAAAAAAUAUAUGGUUGAUUUUUUUUUUUUCAUUUUAAUUUCUUAUUUUUAGAAUUUUGAAGAGAAAAAUUUUUGGCUUAUUCAUAUGGUUGUUUAUGUGAGAUGAGAUAUUCUGAGUUCCAAUUUGGGCUAUACGGACAGAUUGCAUGUGAAUUGUUAAUUGGGAUUUCAUUGAAAACACUUCCUUAUAUAUACAUAUAUAUAUAUAUAUAUUUAAAAAAAAUUGAAUUGAAAUGAAAUUAAUGAGUGGAAUUUAGGGUUUUGAUUGAAGGGAGUAAGGAAAAAGGGAUUGGGAAGAGUGAGUGAGAAGCUUUGCUUUAAAGCUUUUGGGGAAUAAUUCCAUGACUACAAACGUUUUUGUGGUGUUUUUUGCACUUGUCUUGUCAAAAGCACAUGGCCCCCAAUAUGUAUCAUCAACCCCACCUAAUUAAUUAAUUAAUUAAUUAAUAAUUGCCUUAAAUAUAUAUAUAUAUAUGUAUGUAUUAUAAAUUGUGAAAGUUUUAGGAUAUUCCAUUGAAUCAAUUUUGUUAUUUAAUUCUAAAUUUUAAUUUAUAAGAGUCUACUCUUUUGUGUUUUUGCUUGUAUUUAAAUCGUUGUGUAUGUUUAUAGUUAUUUUGGAAUGUAGUUUCUACUCAUUUUUAAAAUUUUUUAAUUAUUUAUACCUUUUAACUUCAUGUAUAAAUGAAUUUUCAUAAAGACUUAGAAAUAUAUUCCACAACUUUUUGUGAAAUUUUUAUUUUAAACAAAUUAUUAAAUUAGUUCUCACUUGUUAUAAUUUAGGAUUUUUAUUACAAUUUACUUCUUAUUACUUUUUUAAUUUGUUUUAAAUAUUUCUAUUAUGUAAUAGAAAAAAAUUUAAGAUAAUAAUACCAUGUUGAGAUAGUUUUUUAAAAAAAAUUCAAAAAAUAAUUUUUACUAAUCAAUUAAGUUAACAAUAUAAUUAGACAUAUUUUUUAUUGUUAUUAAUUUAAUUAAUUAGUUAAAAUAUUAUUUUUAUAAAUAAAAUAUUAAAUAAAUGUUAAUUUAUUAUACUUGUCACAAUUAAAAAAAAAAAAUUAGCAUAAAUUUUAAAUAUUAUAUUCUUAUAUUAAAAUUUGUAAACAUUAAUUUGAUUUCAAGCAACACCAAUUUAAAAACUUAAAUCAUUUGUAUUUACAGUUUUGGAUAAACAUGUUGGGAAGUGCAAAAAAACCCAAUAUUUUAUAUAUCCUAUUACCACCCUAAUGCUAAUAAGCUUAACUCUAUACCUAUAUAUUUGAGAAUAACUUUAUGUAUGUAUAUACAUAUAUACAUAUAUAUAUAUAUAUUUAGAGAGAGAGUGAGAGGUGUCAUCAAGUCAUCCUAACCGGUUUUCAAUCAAAAGAAGAAACAAGAAGAGAAUAAAAACAGAUUAAUUACUGGUUUACACUUUUCUCAUGCAUCUUCGCAGACACCACUCUUAACGGCUUCAAAGAAUUAAUGAUAAAACACAAUUUUUUUUUUUAGUAGGAGUUACUUAAAAACAUUAUUAGCAUUUAGUGGCCACCACCGCCAGCUCCAAAUCCGGCACCACCACCAAACCCAGCACCCCCACCACCGCCAAAACCACCACCACCACCAAAACCACCUCCACCACCAGCUCCACCGCCAAGACCACCACCUCCACCUGCACCAAAACCUCCCCCUGCACCACCCCCGGCACCACCUCCAAGUCCUCCACCACCACCAGCUCCAAGUCCUCCUCCACCACCAGCUCCACCCCCUAAGCCCCCGCCUGCACCACCGCCUAGCCCACCACCUGCACCACCGCCUAGCCCACCACCUGCACCACCGCCUAGCCCACCACCUGCACCACCGCCUAAUCCACCCCCACCACCUAGCCCGUGUCCAAUUCCAUGUCCAAAACCUUUGUUAUAAAUCCCAUGGCCAAGACCUCCUCCCUUCAAGAAAAUUGGACGAGGAAACACGCGCUUAUCAUCCUUGACCCCGCCAGCAUUCUCAUCAGCAUCUACUAAACCAUGGACGAGAAGGACUACACACAGACAAGUUGACAAAACACGAGCAAGAAGAACACUCAUCGCUAAGCUUCAAAAUUGUAAGCAGACAAGAGAGCUAGUGAAGUUCGCUUAGACGUGAAAUGGGUAGUAUGAUAAUAUAUAUAUAUAUAUAUAUAAUGAUGGAACGUAUAGAUAUAUAUAAAUAUACAUAACUAUUCGCCAUUUUCCAGCGCUGCAAUUUGCAAAGGACAACAGAGAGGGAAGUAUAGAAUGAGGUUCAAAUAUUCAACGAUACCCCAACUGCCACGCUUCCAUGAAUAAAUGAUGCUCAUCUGUAAUUGGACAGGUUAUUUAUUUCCCCAACCGCCCUCGUCAAAAGCAAAUCGCCAAUGAAGUCUCUACUGGUCUCGCCUUGAUGGGGUUUUGUUCAUUUUUUUUUUUUUUUCUGUUGACUGUUGGUUUUGAUAAGCUCAUCUUUUGACAUUCAUGAAUGAGUCUUUUCUUCCUUUUCGGAGGGAAAAUGAACCUGUCAGAAUAAAAGCUAGUAAGUAGAUAGCUAUACAUAUACAAAUAGAGAUUGAUAAACACCUAACGUGAUCUCAUUAAAUGGGGAAACCAACCAUACGAAUUAAGAGAGAAUGCCCUUGGCUCUCUCCGCGUGAAGACGAUGUGGCAAUUAUCAUCCCCAUGCAGAGUACGUUGCUGAAGGAAUAGUUUAACUACAGCUUUGUCUAACUCGUUCCUAAUCAAACUUGCCCAUCCACGUGCUUAUUUAUUGCUCUCACUAAUUUUUAUUAAACAUUUGACUUUAACUUUCAUCAUUAUAGAUUGGGUAGCUUCUAGGGGUCCUAAUCUUUGUUUUUACUUCUUUAAUUAAACAGCUAUAUAUGUAUAAUAUAUCUUAAGAUGAAGACAUUUAUUUUAGAAAGUUCAAAAUUUGUUUAAUUUUAGUUGGUUUUUUUAUUUCUAGUUAACACAUUAUUAAUUUUCCAGGUGCACGAUACUUGGAUGAGGUUCGUGCCUUUGUGUCUUCCACAGUUUGUCAUGAGACAGCAACUAUUA